rnacentral:rRNA from 1 species
GACGAACGCUGGCGGCGUGCCUAAUACAUGCAAGUAGAACGCUGAAGGAGGAGCUUGCUCUUCUGGAUGAGUUGCGAACGGGUGAGUAACGCGUAGGUAACCUGCCUGGUAGCGGGGGAUAACUCUUGGAAACGAUAGCUAAUACCGCAUAACAGUAGAUGUUGCAUGACAUUUGCUUAAAAGGUGCAAUUGCACCACUACCAGAUGGACCUGCGUUGUAUUAGCUAGUUGGUGGGGUAACGGCUCACCAAGGCGACGAUACAUAGCCGACCUGAGGGGGGGAUCAGCCACACUGGGACUGAGACACGGCCCAGACUCCUACGGGAAGCAGCAGUAGGGAAGCUUCGGCAAUGGACGGAAGGCUGACCGAGCAACGCCGCGUGAGUGAAGAAGGGUUUCGGAUCGUAAAGCUCGGUUGUAAGAGAAGAACGAGUGUGAGAGUGGAAAGUUCACACUGUGACGGUAUCUUAUCAGAAAGGGACGGCUAACUACGUG